rnacentral:lncRNA from 1 species
GAAAAACAGCUACUAGAGGUUGUUGUUUGUUGACUCACAUCACUGAAAAGACCAGGGUCUGAACUGGCUCACCUCAGGCUUGCCUAGAACCUGGGCUUCGUGACUCAGUUUUACUCCCUCUCUUCAUUCCAUCUUCUGCUGGGCUGGCAGAGUCAACUUUGAGCCCUGUUGCAAUGGUUCUUCUUCUAAGAAAAUGAUGACACCCGGCUUUGUAAAAGAAUUCUUUGCUCCCUGGAAUGUGAUGUACUGGAACAAGAUGCAUUUCCACGUCUGUAACAAAACAAAGAAAAACAAAAACACUUUUAGAGACUGUAAAAUAAUAAAAUUAUCAACUGCAACACCUCAGGGACGGCCCAGAUGCUCCUAUGGCCACGCACCUGCAGCAGGGACCUUCUCCCAGGUCGCCCCUACCGCCUGCCCAACUCGACCCCCGUCGUCUGCGCCUGCGCCCAGGCG